GAUGAACGCUAGCGACAGGCCUAACACAUGCAAGUCGAGGGGCAUCGGGGUGUAGCAAUACGCUGCCGGCGACCGGCGGAUGGGUGAGUAACGCGUAUGCAACCUGCCUUCAGCAGGGGGAUAGCCCGUUGAAAGACGGAUUAAUACCCCGUAACACAGGGGCUCCGCAUGGAGAUUAUUGUUAAAGGGAUGCUUCCUUCGGGGAGUAUUCCGGCUGAAGAUGGGCAUGCGUUCCAUUAGGUAGUUGGUUGAGGUAACGGCUCACCAAGCCUGCGAUGGAUAGGGGAACUGAGAGGUUGGUCCCCCACACUGGUACUGAGGCACGGACCAGACUCCUACGGGAGGCAGCAGUGAGGAAUCUUGGUCAAUGGACGGAAGUCUGAACCAGCCAUGUCGCGUGAAGGAGGACGGCCCUAAGGGUUGUAAACUUCUUUUGCAGGGGAAUAAAGUAUUCUACGAGAUGGGAUAUUGCAAGUACGCUGCGAAUAAGGAUCGGCUAACU
rnacentral:rRNA from 1 species